CGUAACAAGGUCUCCGUAGGUGAACCUGCGGAGGGAUCAUUACACAAAUAUGAAGGCGGGCUGGAACCUCUCGGGGUUACAGCCUUGCUGAAUUAUUCACCCUUGUCUUUUGCGUACUUCUUGUUUCCUUGGUGGGUUCGCCCACCACUAGGACAAACAUAAACCUUUUGUAAUUGCAAUCAGCGUCAGUAACAAAUUAAUAAUUACAACUUUCAACAACGGAUCUCUUGGUUCUGGCAUCGAUGAAGAACGCAGCGAAAUGCGAUAAGUAGUGUGAAUUGCAGAAUUCAGUGAAUCAUCGAAUCUUUGAACGCACAUUGCGCCCUUUGGUAUUCCAAAGGGCAUGCCUGUUCGAGCGUCAUUUGUACCCUCAAGCUUUGCUUGGUGUUGGGCGUCUUGUCUCUAGCUUUGCUGGAGACUCGCCUUAAAGUAAUUGGCAGCCGGCCUACUGGUUUCGGAGCGCAGCACAAGUCGCACUCUCUAUCAGCAAAGGUCUAGCAUCCAUUAAGCCUUUUUUUCAACUUUUGACCUCGGAUCAGGUAGGGAUACCCGCUGAAC
rnacentral:rRNA from 1 species